rnacentral:rRNA from 4 species
AGGGUCGUUUGACCGGGAAGUUAGCGUCUU